UCAGGACGAACGCUGGCGGCGUGCCUAAUACAUGCAAGUCGAACGGCUUUUCUAUGGAAGCUUGCUUCCACUGAGAAGAUAGUGGCGAACGGGUGAGUAACACGUGGGUAACCCUGCCCAUAAGAGGGGGAUAACAUCCGGAAACGGGUGCUAAUACCGCAUAGUUUCUUGAUUGCAUGAUUGAGAAAGGAAAGACGGCCUUUGUGCUGUCGCUUAUGGAUGGACCCGCGGCGUAUUAGUUAGUUGGUGAGGUAACGGCUCACCAAGACGAUGAUACGUAGCCGACCUGAGAGGGUGAUCGGCCACAUUGGGACUGAGACACGGCCCAAACUCCUACGGGAGGCAGCAGUAGGGAAUCUUCCGCAAUGGACGAAAGUCUGACGGAGCAACGCCGCGUGAGUGAAAGAAGGUUUUCGGAUCGUAAAACUCUGUUGUCAGAGAAGAACAAGUUGGAGAGUAACUGCUCCAGCCUUGACGGUAUCUGACCAGAAAGCCACGGCUAACUACGUGCCAGCCGCCGC
rnacentral:rRNA from 1 species